rnacentral:lncRNA from 1 species
GUGUUAAUCUAAGUGAGAACUGGCACAUAGAGUAAAGCUAAACAAGUGUUUAACCCGAAAAAGUAUUUAAUGCUAAGUGUAAAUGCUCAUACCCAAGUUCUGAGAAACAAGGAGCAUAUUGAUUCAGAGAAGAGCUGCCUAACCACCUAAUACUGCAAAAAGAUCUUCCACCAUUCCUUUCUUUCAGAGGUCUGAGAUAUGUGGAUCUGGGCUGGGUGUAAGCAUAAUUCAAGAAAAUGAUUUGAGGAAAAGAAAUCCGUUUCAUUACUGCAUCCCCUUUACAAUUCAGAUGACUGACUUUUUAUAGCUCCAGCAAAGCCUUUGCCUCAACAGUCUAAGUAAGAGUUGCCUCUGCGAGGGAGAGGAGUUCCUAACACCUGCUCAGCCCACACAGCACCACCAUGACCAGCUCCACCUGACUGCUGUGAAAGGCCCCUUUGAGCAGCUCCAAGAUCAGGUGCAGGAAGACCCUUGAUAAUACAAAUGUGCACCAGAGACCCUCUAGGUCAGAUGCUGGCAUUCUAGAAGGAAGCGUCCUCAAAUUCCUGCUCUGGCUCUCAUGCUGAAGUCUCUGGGAACGCCUUUAUGGGACCUUAGGAGGGUGUUUUCUGUGAAGAUGAACUUCCCAUUGCCUCCCUCUGGUAGGAAUGCAGAAGAUAAAUGUGGGAAUAAGGUAGGAAGGAAGCAAAGUAGAAGAGACAGAAGGAGGGAAAGCCUGUGCAUGACAACCACUACUCUUUUGACAAUUUAAUGUCCAGCUGUUCUGUCAUUCUACUGUGGUGAUGGCUCUUUUAAGGUACCAUGGCCGUUAACGUGUGCCUGUCUCUAUAUGUGUGUGUGUGUGUGUGUGUGUGUGUCCAGUUGUCCCACUCCUGUCCCAUCUGUCUCUAUAUAGGCAUACUUUGGAGGUAUUACUAGUUAGGUUCCAGACCGCAAGAAAGUGAAUAUCACAGUACAGCAAGUCAUGUAUUUUUUACAAUUUGUGAGCACAAAUAUAAGUUUUAUUUAAACUAUAGUGUAUUAAGUGUACAGUAGCAUUUUUUCUUUAAAAAGUUCAUACUGUAACUAAGAUGAUCUGAGCCUUCCGUGAGUUGUAAUCAUUUUGCUUGUGGAUGGUCUUGGCUAGAUACUGCUGACUGCUGACUGAUCAGGAUGGUGGUUGCUAAAAGUUGGGAUGGCUGUGGCAAUUUCUUUAAACAAGACAACAGUGUUGUUUGUUGCAUUGAUUGACUCUUCCUUUCAUGAACACUUUCUCUAUAGCACACAGUGCUCUUUGAUAGCAUUUUACCCACAAUAGAACUUCUUUCAAAAUUGGAGUCAAUCCUCUUAAACUCUGCUUUAGCAAGUAAUUUUAUAUAAUAUUCUAGAUCCUUUUGUCAUUUAAGUAGUCUUCACAGCAUCUUCACCAGGACUAGUUUCCAUCUCAAAAAACCAUUUUCAUUGUUCAUCCAUAAGUAGUAACUCCUCACACAUUAAAUGUUAUCAUGAAUUAUAGCAAAUCUUCAUCUUCACCUUCUACUUCUAAUACUAGUUCUUUUGCUAUUUCUACCACAUCUGCAGUUACUUCUUCCACUAAAGUCUUGAACCUCUCCAAACCAUCUGUGAGAGUUAGUAUCAAAUUCAGUCGUUUCUUCAUAUUUCAUUUUCUCUCAGGCAAUAUGUUUUCCUCCCCCUAAAGGCUGAGUUACUUCAAAAACAGGACAGUCAGUAUCUCCAACUUUCUCACUUUAUAUUUCUUCAUUCAGCUUUUA